UUCUCAGGAGCGGCCGGGGCAAGACCGAGCAGCUUCUAAAUGUCCCUGCGCUUGAUCUCAUUAUUCUGGAUUUGACUCAGCUCAGCCGAUUCAGAGUCACGGAGCCCCGGGCCUCCUUGUGAAACCUGCACCGCCAUGCGCAAGCGAGGGGCUGCUGGGGCGGACGAGCCUCUCUAGAGAGAAUUCCUGAACUGAAUCUUCCUAACGUCUCAGUGUUGCCAAGGGAUGCACGGGCUGUGCUGGAGGUCUGUCAGAGAGACUGAAGGUGGAGAGGAGAUGACCUGCUCCGGCAAGGGCAGGAGAGCAGGUCUGUGAGGGAGGGUCCUCAGAUCGAGAUAUUUGAGCAAAGUUUAAGGGAUUGACAGCCACCUGCCCCAGCCAGGAUUUCUUCCCUCCUGGAAAUUUCCAGUACUGGAAAGUGGCUGGAAUGCGGGUGCAGUCACUGAUAAGCCCUCUGCCCCAAAUGCACAGCCAUGUUCACCUACACCUGCCCGCUGGCAGAGCCCACGAUGUCUGGAAGACACAGGGGCCACUCAACCUGGACACUUCUGGCUUUUCCUCCAGCCCACGGAGGCCCUUCCUGCCAUGGGGAAAUCUCACUCCCUGCCCCAAAGAAAAUUCUCUGUACAACUGAA